rnacentral:miRNA from 1 species
ACGUGCUUCUUUGCAAGACCAUA